GACGAAGGUGGCAAGCGUUAUUCGGAAUUACUGGGCUUAAAGCGCACGUAGGCGGGAAGUUAAGUGUCUUGUGAAAUACCUCGGCUUAACCGAGGAAUGGCUGGGCAAACUGACUUUCUUGAGGCAAGUAGGGGUGCAUGGAACUCUAGGUGGAGCGGUGAAAUGCGUAGAUAUCUAGAGGAACGCCAGCGGUGAAAACGGUGCACUGGGCUUGUUCUGACGCUGAGGUGCGAAAGCGUGGGUAGCGAACGGG
rnacentral:rRNA from 1 species